AUCAGUGAAGUGGAGAAACAAGGAGAAAGCUGCAAAAGGAUAUUUAAAGAAGAAAAGCAGUAUCCCACUGAAAAAGAUACAUGGAGUUCCAUGUGAAAAUAUAAAAAUAACAGGUGAAAGUUGAGGCCCAGAACGUGACAUUCUCUUAACAGAUUCUCUGUUUUCAUAUGUUCUUAUCUCCCCUUAUCACCAUCCUUGCAAUUUCAUUCAUAUCAUCUGAAAGAGUCAAACAAGCAAAGGAACAAUGGAAAAGAUCCUGCAGAUAUUCAACAACCACAAGUUUCAAUAUUUUCUCCUUUCCCAGAUGCUCCUUUACACCACCUCUACAGCCUUACACACUCCCAUCCAAUGUGGUAAUAUCAGCUUCAAAGGCCUCUCUUGUCUCCAAAUUCUACAAACCCCUUCCCAUUAAACCGCAUGAUCCUAUGCAAAUCUCAGAAGCUAUACUUUAGAACCUCUGUGGGUCAAUUUCCCAUCUCUUCUAUUGAUUACACAAGUAAAACACUAACAGUGUUUCACAGUAGUUGUUCUUCUUCAGAGCAGUUUGUAUCCCCAACACUCCUUUCAGCUGGUUUCCCUUCUCCUCCUCACCCCAACUCACUUCUUCUCUUCAACUGCUCACACAAAGGGAAUCCCGCGGCAGCGUUUAUUCGCAACUGCAGUCGUCUGCACAUGUGUAGAGCCGCUUCUGAAGUUCCUCAUUCAUGUCUAGUAGUUGAAGAUACUGAAAAUCUUGACCCUAUUUUCAUCCAAAAGAUUUGGGUUGCUCAAGUUACAAGAGGGUUUAUAGAAGGUCUUUAAUUGAGGAAGACUAUGAAGGAGUUGGUUUGGGGACAAGGAUUUCAUUCGACAUUCCCGACCAUGUACCGAACAUAUGCAAUGAAUGUAAAAAGCCUAAUGGCAACUGUGGUGUUGGGUUGAAGUGCAUUUGUAAUGCAAAAGAGUGUAAAGAUAAGGUCCUUUCAGGUGCUGGAUCACUGGACAGUGGUAUAAGUUUCUUGUUUCUUUUAUUUUCGAUCAUUGUUCAUCAGAUGAAUUUAUGGAUGAUUUGAGCAAUUGUAGAACUUGAAAUGUAUAUUAUUUUUUUUACCU